UACAGAGGUCUCAAGCGUUGUUCGGAUUCAUUGGGCGUAAAGGGUGCGUAGGCGGCGCGGUAAGUCGGAUGUGAAAUCUCGGAGCUUAACUCCGAAACUGCAUUCGAUACUGCCGUGCUUGAGGACUGGAGAGGAGACUGGAAUUUACGGUGUAGCGGCGAAAUGCGUAGAUAUCGUAAGGAAGACCAGUGGCGAAGGCGGGUCUCUGGACAGUUCCUGACGCUGAGGCACGAAGGUCAGGGGAGCAAACGGG
rnacentral:rRNA from 1 species